rnacentral:tRNA from 1 species
GUGGCUAUGGUGUAACCUGGUCAACAUACGGGACUGUGGUCAUCCUGUGAUUCCGGGUUCAAAUCCCGGUAGCCACC